rnacentral:misc_RNA from 1 species
GAUGAAGAACGCAGCGAAAUGCGAUAAGUAAUGUGAAUUGCAGAAUUCAGUGAAUCAUCGAAUCUUUGAACGCACCUUGCGCUCCUUGGUAUUCCGAGGAGCAUGCCUGUUUGAGUGUCAUGAAAUUCUCAACCUUUUCAGCUUUCUUUGUUGAUCAGGCUUGGAUGUGGGAGUAUGCGGGCUUCUCAGAAGUCGGCUCUCCUGAAAUGCAUUAGCGGGACCUUUGUUGCCUGGCUUUGGUGUGAUAAUUAUCUACGCCAUUGUAGUCAAGCAGCUUAUAAUGAGGUUUCAGCUUCUAACCGUCUCCCCUGAGACAACUUUUUGACAAUUUGACCUCAAAUCAGGUAGGACUACCCGCUGAACUUAAGCAUAUCAAUAAGCGGAGGA